rnacentral:rRNA from 1 species
AGAGUUUGAUCCUGGCUCAGGAUGAACGCUGGCGGCGUGCCUAACACAUGCAAGUCGAGCGAUCCUUCUUCGGAAGAGAGCGGCGGACGGGUGAGUAACGCGUGGGUAACCUGCCUCAUACACAUGGAUAACAUACCGAAAGGUAUGCUAAUACAAGAUGAUAUAAGAGAUUCGCAUGGAUUUCUUAUCAAAGCUCCGGCGGUAUGAGAUGGACCCGCGUCUGAUUAGCUAGUUGGUAAGGUAACGGCUUACCAAGGCGACGAUCAGUAGCCGACCUGAGAGGGUGAUCGGCCACAUUGGAACUGAGACACGGUCCAAACUCCUACGGGAGGCAGCAGUGGGGAAUAUUGCACAAUGGGCGAAAGCCUGAUGCAGCAACGCCGCGUGAGCGAUGAAGGCCUUCGGGUCGUAAAGCUCUGUCCUCAAGGAAGAUAAUGACGGUACUUGAGGAGGAAGCCCCGGCUUAACUACGUGCCAGCAGCCGCGGUAAUACGUAGGGGGCUAGCGUUAUCCGGAUUUACUGGGCGUAAAGGGUGCGUAGGUGGUUUCUUAAGUCAGGAGUGAAAGGCUACGGCUCAACCGUAGUAAGCUCUUGAAACUGGGAAACUUGAGUGCAGGAGAGGAAAGUGGAAUUCCUAGUGUAGCGGUGAAAUGCGUAGAUAUUAGGAGGAACACCAGUAGCGAAGGCGGCUUUCUGGACUGUAACUGACACUGAGGCACGAAAGCGUGGGGAGCAAACAGGAUUAGAUACCCUGGUAGUCCACGCCGUAAACGAUGAGUACUAGGUGUCGGGGGUUACCCCCCUCGGUGCCGCAGCAAACGCAUUAAGU